ensembl:lncRNA
AAAACACAGCUUCAAUCCCUGGUCCAGGAAGAUCCCACAUGCUGCAGAACAACUAAGCCCAUGUACCACAACUACUGAGCCUGUGCUCUAGAGCCCACGAGCAGCAAAUUCUGAGCCCAUGUGCUGCAGCUAAUGAAGCCCACCUGCGCUAGAGCCAGUGUCCCACAUUAAGAGAAGCCUGUGUGGUGAGGAGGCCGCAGACCACAACUAGAGGAUAGCUCCUGUUCUCCACAACUAGAGAAAAAGCCUGAACAGCAGUGAAGACCCAGCACAGCCAAAAAUAAGAAGGGAACUAGUAGCUGUCCAGUGUCCCUGUGAAGUGAAGUGAAGUUGCUUCAGUCGUGUCCGACUCUGUGCGACCCCAUAGACGGCAGCCCACCAGGCUCCCCGGUCCCUGGGAUUCUCCAGGCAAGAACACUGGAGUGGGUUGCCAUUUCCUUCUCCAAUGCAUGAAAGUGAAAAGUGAAAGUGAAGUUGCUCAGUUGUGUCUGACUCUUGGAGACCCCAUGGACUGUCGCCUACCAGGCUCCAGUGUCCCUAAAGAAGCAAAAAUAAAGUG